rnacentral:tRNA from 1 species
GAGGAUAUAGCUCAGUGGUAGAGUGUGUGCUUAGCAUGCACGGGGUCCUGGGUUAAAAACUCUAGUACCUCU